GAGUUUGAUCUUGGCUCAGAUUGAACGCUGGCGGCAUGCCUUACACAUGCAAGUCGAACGGUAACAGGUCUUCGGAUGCUGACGAGUGGCGAACGGGUGAGUAAUACAUCGGAACGUGCCCGAUCGUGGGGGAUAACGAAGCGAAAGCUUUGCUAAUACCGCAUAAGAUCUACGGAUGAAAGCAGGGACCGCAAGGCCUUGCGCGAACGGAGCGGCCGAUGGCAGAUUAGGUAGUUGGUGGGAUAAAAGCUUACCAAGCCGACGAUCUGUAGCUGGUCUGAGAGGACGACCAGCCACACUGGGACUGAGACACGGCCCAGACUCCUACGGGAGGCAGCAGUGGGGAAUUUUGGACAAUGGCGAAAGCCUGAUCCAGCCAUGCCGCGUG
rnacentral:rRNA from 1 species